GGGGGUUUAGCUCAGUUGGUAGAGCGUCACGCUGGCAGCGUGAAGGUCAGCGGUUCGACCCCGCUAAUCUCCA
rnacentral:tRNA from 1 species